rnacentral:lncRNA from 1 species
UAACUUACAAACAAAUUCAGACCAAGAAAUGAUACACAAAUUCUAGAAUCUCUCCAUCAUUCAAGUUGGGCAUACCAGAUACCCUGGAUUUUCACAUCCUUGGGGACCUUUGCACCGAGAUCAGUAUCAGAUGGCUGGAUGCUCUCAAAUACUCCAAUGACCUCACCGGUCUCUGGCUUGCACUGGGUAACACUCAGGGUGAUCUUUCCUGUAGAAGAUGCAGUAUUCUUUACGUUCUCCUUCUCAAGCUCCUCCUCGUCUCCUCUCCCUCCAGCAGGCAAUGCAACAGCGUUGUCAUAGCCAGUAGAUCCACCCCGUCCCUUUGGGUCAAGGAAGGAUGAACCUCUGUAUGAUGGCACAAGGAAUUCACCGCUAAAGCUUUCUGGUUUGCCGCUUGCCACUAGCUGUUUGAUAGUGAAGAGGAAGGGCACACGCUCACCACCAGGAAGCUGAACUGUAACAGCAGCAUAAUCAAUUCCAUCCUUCUCCUCAAACUUAACAGUGCCAUCAGAAGACACUUCGAAUGGUCCCUCAAUCUCAUCAAGGGUGUAGGUUAAGCGUGUCAUGAGCUUGGUUUUCUGGAAAUCUGGGGGUGCAUUCUUGUUCACACUCUCUGCCUUGACUGUGAAUGAUGUGGGCUCUAAGCAGAAUUUCUUGGCAUUGUAUUUGCCUGGCUUGAAGGCAAAGCUGGCAACACCUCCUUCUAUCGUAGGGCACUGGUUAGCAGUUCCAGUUCCCUUUACUUCCAUGUAUGUCUUGCUUUGAAUUUCGUCGAAGGUUAGACGUUUUGGAACUCCUUCAGCAUUUGCUCCCUAGCAGCCAAGUGGACAAACUUCAGGAAUUUUUGCAUGAGAAACAAGAUUUUCAAAUUUAAUUAAGACAGAAUCCCUAAAACAGUUUAUCCUUACAGAAACAUGGAUGCUUGUCCUGAAAUACAGAUGACUACAUGAAUGUCCAGAAAUGAACAAUGGAAAUUUUGACGAGAUUGGAUGAUUGGAUAUAGACUGAUCUUACUAUUGGAGGUGCUAUUGUGUGUAUAUAUUGGGUGACAAUGGUAAAGAAGCCCUCUAAAGUAUUUCUAUGUAUCCUCAAGCACCUGAUUUAGAUAUUUGGAAAAGAAUAUAAGGCCUACAAGCUCGAAGAAUGUUACCUGCUUUUAGAAUCAUCGGUAUGCCAUACUGGUAAGGUAGCAUUCAUCUCUGAUCCAGCUGUAGUGUUCCUUAUGAUCUUAAACUCAGGUGAUUGGUUUUACACCAACGGAAACCAUAAACUUCAUACACAAUAGAGGGAUAUGAUAGAGUUUUUUUUUUUCUUUAUUUUUUUUAAUAAUGAAUGGAAUUCCUUCUUUCAUUCUAUCCCAUUCACCGGUACUAAUCACUAAGUGUAAAAGUGGCUUUCUUGCUUUUGUGCCUACUCAUGAUCUAAACAAGUCGCACAUACACCCAAGUACAUGUUCCUUAACGCUGAGGGCAACCCCCCCACCCCCCCCCAUAGAGCAGGGGAUCUCGUGACAUCUUUCAUUGGUUGUUUGUAUUUCUAAUAAGUUAUUUAAUAGCUGGCAUGUUGAAUCAUAUACAUAAUGUGAUGAAUUUGCUUAGAUUGAUCCUAACGGAAUGAUGAUGAGAAACUGCUAAUUUGUUUUUGUCUGGUGACUAGAGCCUUCAUGCAAUACCUAAAUUGUGCUGUCUGAAUUUAUGACUUUAUUAUGCGGGAAAAAGCACUGGAUAUAUGGGAAAUAUGGACAUGAAGCAGGCAGAAUUGAGUAAGAAAAGCAACUUACUGAGACGACAAGGGCAGAAGUGGCCAGAGCAAAACCAGCAACCUUGGCAGCAUCAGUGCACUUUUGAGCCAAGUCCUUGAGUUCAGUUUGCAAAGAGCAAGUAAGCCUAGCUGCAGCUGGUUCAACACCAAAUGCUUUGCUCACACUUUGAGCAGACCUCAACUGCAGGUUGUUUCUAGCUGGGGCAACACCAACCUUUGUUGGUUGCAUUAGAGUAGCAGCUGCUUGUAGAGAGGCAGCCAUAAUUUUACCCUUUUCUUGAUCAGUCUUCUUCUCCUCUCUGUUUCUGCUUUUUAGGAAGUGGUUGAGUGGCAGUAAGAAGUGGUUUGUAUGAGAGGCUGGACAAAUUAUUUUGGUGGCUUUGCUGUGAGUAAGAUAAGAGAUAGGAUAAGGGCUAUUUUUCAUUGGUUGGUUUGAGCAUUAGCCUAUUAUUUGGUGGCCUGCAACGUGGCAAAGUUAGUAUUUAGGAUAAAGAUACUCCCUUUUGUAAUCUUGCCAGGAAAUUAGUGGACUACCGCGUCUUGCCUUAUUUGAAGGUAAAAAUGUAAAAUAUUUAUUGACACUCGACAUUUUACAUUUACACCAUAUCAUGUCUUUUACGUACUAUUUUAUCCUCUUAGCCAAUGUUAAUUAAUGUCACCUCGAUUUAUCACUUAAGCUAGUAGAUUCAUUCCUAGAAUCCCGUCACUAUAGACUGUGUGUUUUGGUAUAAACAUUGUGUGUUUGAGAAUUAGCUUGAUAAAUUAUACGUUAUACCAAUAUGGGAAGAAUACCCUUAUGAAAAGGUGAAAUAAAGAAAAUCAACUACCAGGCCUCUUUGUUUUUGUUCAGGUUUGGGAAAAAGAUUUAAAAGGUUUUAAACGAUUCUUUUUGGUUUUUAAAGUAAUUUUUAUUUCUAAAAAUUAAUCCAAAAGCCUUUUUGAAAAAAACAGAAGUAACUCAAAAAAAAAAAAGGGGUGAAGAAAAAGACAAUUAGGAAUUUUAAUCAUUUAUUUGAUCCUUGUACUAUUAGAGCGACUAUGGACUUGUAUAAUAAAGCCAAGAUCCGAGUGAGAAUAGUGAGAGGAGACUUAGAACAUUUUCUAGUCGAGAUGGGGUUGCGUCAGGGAUCAUCUCUUAGCCCGUUUAAUUUGCUUUGGUGAUCGAAAAAUUAACAUGACAUAUUCAAGGGGAGGUACCAUGGUGUAUAUUUUUUUUAUAGAUGACAUAGUCUUAAUUGACAAGAAAAGAGUCUAAAGGUUUCAGGUUGAGCAGGACUAAAACGGAGUAUAUGGAGUGUGAAUUCAGUGAUGAAUCACAUGAGGCGGAUGUAGAAGUAAGAAGCGGUACACAGGUUAUCCCCAAGAGAUGAAGCUUCAAAUAUCUUGGGUCAAUAAUCCAAAGAAACCAGGAGAUCGACGAUGAUGUCAUAAAUCGUAUUGGAGUGGGAUGGAUGAAAUAGAGGCUCACAAGCAGUGUCCUAUGUGAAUGUGCCAACAAGAUUUAAAGUAAGUUCUAUAGAGUAGUUGCUAGACCAAUUAUAUUGUAUGGGACAAAAAGUUGACCAUUCAAGAACUCACACGUUUAGAAGAUAAAAGUAGUGUAAAUGAUGUUGCUUAGAUGGAUGUGUGGGCAUACUAGGAGAGAUAAGAUAAACGAAGAUAUACGAGACAAGGUGGAGUAACCUUCAUAGUGGACAAGAUGCGGGAAGUGAGAUUGAAAUGGUUCAGGCAUGAGAAGAGGAGGAGCACCACCCUUGUGAUUAACUAUCAACUAAAUUAAACCAAAUAAUUAAUCUAUUCAAGCGAUUUUCUAGAGUGUGACUUCUAAAGUGUGAUUAAUUAACUACAACUAAUCUAGAGUAGCAAACAAAGAGAUUAAAGGAACAAGUUGGUGAAAUUAGACACAAAUUCAAUGUGAGUGAAUAUUCUAGAGCUAUGAGUUCGCUAAAAAUCCCGUUGAGUUUUCCACUUAAAUCGUCUAAUUAAUUUAUCUAGUUUAUUAGUUGACAGAGUUAAUAUUUCUUGUAGCCUUCUCCCGAAGUACAACUCGCCUAUUCAAGCUAACCUAACGCCUAUAUUCCUAUGGAAUUAGGAUUAACAAGAACGCAUUUAUAAUUUUCGCAUAAUAACUAAGCAAGGCGAUUAGGUAUAUUCCUAUCAUAACCGCAAAUUCUCCCCUCCCCCCCUCCCCCCACCCCAGAGUUAAGAUCUUGCUCUACUCAAUCUUAUAUACAAUCUAGAAUUCCCUCUCCCGAGUUCAAUCCUAGAUUCGUAGAUAGUAUUCAAUUGGUGAUCAAGUAAUCAAAUAAUUAAGCGCAAGAUUGAAUAAAUAAAUCAAUAUGAUAAUAUAAUAAGAACAAUUCAAGUUUCAAACUACAACGUUCAUGUAGCACCCAACAACUCUAGAACUAAUAAACUAUAAAAUUAAAAGAAGAAAAGAGAAGAAAAACUAGUUAAAAGCCUCCUCCAAGCGUGGAGUGUGUUCCUCCACGUGAAUUCUUCUUCAAAGUAUGUUCUAUCCCCUUCAAAAUAUGUUAGAUAUCCCUCAAAAUAGGUUUAGAACUCCUUUUAUAUGAGUUAGCGGGGUCUUGGACCGAAAUAACCUUAUCCCGGGCGAAUUUGGACAAAAUUCACGUCACCAACGCCCAGCCCAGCACCUGGCGCUGUCCCUAGCGCUGGUUUAUUAAGUCUUCUGUCUCUGGCGCCACAGGUAGGGCUAGGCGCUGCUUGUGGCACUGCAAAUUUCAGUUUUCCUAUUUUCGUCCGUUUUGGCUCUAAUUUCGCACAUUUCGCCCACAAUUGCUCCCGAAUCAUUCCUACACAUAAAAAAAUCUCAAAUUAAUAUAAAUCAACACAUUUUACAUCCUAAAUCCAAGAAACAAAAGUAAAACAUGAGGCGAUAUACAUAUAAAUAUAUAUACUUUAAGCUAACAUCAAGCAAAGAUGCCCCAAUGAGCAGGUGUGAGGGGUUGGCAGUGUUAGGUCUAAGGAGAGGUAGAGAUAAACCAAGAAGAAUUGGGGAGAAGUGAUUAGACAGCACAUGACACAUCUUCAGCUCAUUGAAUACAUGUUCCUAGAUAGGAGAAUAUAGAAGUCGAGAAUUAGGGUAGAAGAUAAGUAAGUAGUCGAGCGAUUUCUCUCUUUUCUGUGGAGAGCAUGAUUCUGGUAUUGAGCAUCCUAUCUUCUCCUUCUUCUCCUUCUUCUCUUAAUAAAUAUCAUUAUUAUAUUUCUAUUAUUAUUUGAUUCUUCAAUUUUUUAUUUUAUUAUUAUUAUUAUUAUUAUUAUUAUUAUUUCCUUUAGAUAUUAUAUUUACUCUUUUUGCUAUCAAUAUAUUUUUUUAUGUAUUAGUAUUUUCAUCAUAACUUUUAAAUUCUUCUAUUUUUCAGAUCUGUUUUGAAAAUAUUUUUCUUGAGCCGAGGAUCUAUUGAAAACAACUUCUUUACCUCACAUAAGUUAAAGGUAAGGUUCAUGUACACUGAUAGGUUACAAAUACUUUGGUCAUAAGUACUUUACUUUAUGUUUUGAUGAUCUAACAAACUUACUAUCCAGAACCAGAUAAGGAACCUGUUACACAUUUACAAGACCUUAAGAUCACAAGGUUCCAGGUUGAGAUCCAGCGUGGAAUAUGAUUCAACUCUUCAGAGUGAAAGGAACAGCUGAGGAAACAGGUCCCUACUAGUUCCCGAGGAGACUGUACGAAGUCAACUAUCCAGCUCCAAAGUUGUUGCCUGCACACGCUACAGUGCAGGAACAGUGCUGCAGUCAACUUUUCACGGAAUACUUUUUACCUAACUUUCUUACAUAAUUGUAAGUGAGGCCACUCAUGUAUAUAUACAAUCAAGGAAAGGUAAAACACAUUCACUUGAACUUUUCAGAAGCUCAUUCACGUGACUAUCCAGUAAGAAAGUUUCAAGUGCGUCAAGAACAAAGAACAAAACAACUAUGGACCAGUUCCCACAUUGAGUUAUUGUAUGUUAGUUGAGUUGUAACUUUGUAAUAGUUUUUCAAUUGUAAUUCCUAUCUAGCUUAUUUAGAAGUAUUCUAUAGGAACCCCUUUGUAAACCUUAAACCAGUACGUUUGAGUCCUGGCUAGAGUUAAUCAUGUUGUAAAGUCUUUGUAAUAGAGUUAUUACAAAGUGGCUUGUAAUAGUGUAUUACAAGUUAAGGAAGGAUUAAGAGGUUAAUUCCUAGGUUGCAUAGGUUGUAAUCUAAAAGAUGCUCAGUAGUGAAAUUGAAAUCCUACAAGGGUAGGUCACGGUUUUUAAUCCCGUUGAGCUGGAAAUUCUUCACAUAAAAUUUCUCUUGCCAUUUAAUUAUUGUUGUGUGUGUGUACUAUUCUCUAUAGAGAUUGGUGGACCCUUAUAUUCUAUUUAUUGGUAUCAGAGCAGGUUCUUUCUAUCAGGUUAACACCUAGAAAGGAUACACAUGGCUGCUCUUCCAAACUUCGAAGAAGGCCAGUCUACUUACAGACCACCUACGUUCAAUAGACAGUAUUAUAGAUGGUGAAAAACUAGAAUGCAUGGCUUCAUCAUGGCUGAAUAUUUUGAGUUAUGGGAUGUUAUAUGUGAUGGACCUUUUGUCCCUACCAAAAACCUUGGCGACCCACCUAUGAUGCAAAUAGAAAGGCCAUAGAGAAGAACUUUCUUGCAAAAAAAAUCUGGUGUGUGGUAUUGGUGCUGAUGAAUACAAUAGGAUAUCAGCAUGUCAAUCAGCCAAAGAAAUCUGGGAAGCCCUUCAGACAGCUCACGAAGGAACAACACAGGUCAAGCAAUCCAAAAUCGACAUGUUCACAACUGAAUACGAGCUCUUCAAGAUGCAAGACGAUGAAUCUGUCCAAGAAAUAUAUACUCGGUUCACCUCUAUCAUUAUUGAGCUUCACUCCUUUGGUGAAACUAUUCCAAAAAACAAGUUGGUUAGAAAAAUCCUCAGUGUGUUGCACAUUUCUUGGGAAAGCAAAGUGAACGCCAUUACAGAGGCGAAGGACUUGCAGGAGCUAACUAUUAAUGAGAUUGUUGGCAAUCUAAAAACAUAUGAAAUGAAGAAGAAGAAGGACAGUGAAAUAAGAAAGCCCGAGAGAGAGAGAGAGAGAGAGAGAAGAACAUGGUCCUCAAGACAGAAAAUAAUGACUCAAGUGGUGAGGAUGGUGAUAUGGCAUACCUAACAAGAAGAUUUCAGAAGAUGGUUCGCAGGAAUGGAGGCAUUCCAAAAAGGGGAAGUUCUAGCAAGCCAAAGAGUUAUGACAUAUGUCAUAAAUGUGGCAAGCCAGGAUAUUUCAUCAAGGAUUGCCCUCUCCUAAAGCAGGCUCAGUACAAGAACAACUCUGAUAAAGCAGCCAAAAGGAACCCGAUUCCUGAUAGACGCUUCAAUAGAAAAAAUGUUACUGACAAUAUCGUAAGACAAGCUCUUGCUGCAUGGGCAGAUUCAUCAAGUGAAUAUGGGGAAGAUGAUGAACCAAGUAACAACUCUAUGAUCGUAGUAAAGAGUGAAGCAACUGAGUAUGAUUCAAUUGCUUUGAUGGCCCAGUCUGAUGAUGAAGAUGACGAUGACAAUGAGGUAAAUUUUCAGGAUGUUCAGAGAAAUCUGAAAUCUUAUUCUCCUAAGAAACUCAUGUCUUUGAAAAAUGUGCUAAUCGACGAUUAUUACAGUCUUAUAAAUGACAAAUAUGUCUUAACAGUUGAACUAGAAGAAGCAGAACAAUCUAGAGAUGACCUAGUAAUAGUUGCACUUGAUUUAAGAGAGUCAUUUGAGAACCUGAAGAAAGAAAGAAAUGUCUUAGAUAAAAAGAUCGCAAAUGUAGAACAAGAAAGAGAUGACCUUCUAGUGGUAGUAAUGGAUUUGAAGGAAAUAAUUGGGAAACCUAAAAUGGAGAGUAGGGCUAAAAAUUGUCAAAAAGGAAAGAAAGUUGCAAGCGAGGCACACAUUAAGCUUGAAAGUGAGCUAAAUUCAGUGAAGAUUAGUCUGUGUGUUGAGCUUGAGAAAAACAAACAAUUUUAGGAAGAACUAAGUAGAGUGAAGAGUGAUCUUGAAAAAUCACUCAAGUGGACUUGGUCCUCUGAUGCUAUCACUGCCAUGUACACGAGCAUUGGGGGAAGUAGGUAGGGGAUUGGGUUUCAAAGGAAAAAGAUUCCCUACAACCCUCAUAGCAAGUAUGUUAUUGUACCUGAUAAUUGGCUUUGCACCCACUGCGGUAACAAUGGGCACCUUAAAGAAAACUGUAAGGCUAGAUUUCAGUCACAAUAGAAAAACAAAUCCUUUGCUGAAAAGUUAACUACCAGUAGAGAACCUGGUCCCUCAUUUAAAAAACCCAUAAUGCCUGCAUGGACCAAAAGAUCUUUGAUUCACCCCUUUCCUCAUUACAAGGGACCCAAAUUAGUUUGGAUUCCUAAAGCUAACUCCUAACUCUUCUUGUGCAGGCAACAGUGAAAGGAAGCAGCAUA